UAUAUGCAGAAGGCACAUAUCCUGGGUGACAGAUGGAAGCCAUUACAGCCAAGGAUUUAGACCCUGAGGGAUGGUGCAUGGAGCUGGUGCUUCAAGAUCUAAACGUGGUGCCAACAAUGCCAGCUAUGGGACCUUAUCCUUCUCGACAGAAUUAACACUGUGAUCAUUCAGAUACAAAAAUCCAUAUAUAGAACUACUAAAAAUCAACAAAAUUCACAGACUGGAAAGGCAGACUCAUCAAUAAACAGUGAUGCAUGAGUUGGAUAUACACAUGCAGAAGAAAGAAAUUCGACCUUUAUCUCAGAACAUAUAUAAAAAUCAACUCAAAAUAGGUUAAAGACUUAAGACUUUAAACUGUAAAACCAUUAUAAGAAAACAGAGGGUAAAUGCCUCUUAUCACUUGUUUUAGCAAAGAGUUUUUUAAUAUGAACCUGAAAGCACAGGCAACAAAAGUAAACACAGACAAAUCUGAUUGGCAUCAGACCAAAAACCUUCUACAAAGCAAAUGAAACAACAGACUUAAGAGAACCCACGGAAUGGGAUAAAGUGCUUUCAAACCAUAUCUGAUAAAGGGUUAAUAUCCAACAUAUAUAAGGAACUCAAACAACUCAAUAGAUCUGUUGUGAAGUUUAUUCUUAUGUAUUUUAAAGUUGCUAUUACUACUGGAAAUGACAUAUAUUUAUUAUAUUUUUAUUUGUCAGUUGUUAGUAUGCACAAUAUGAUUGAUUUAGGCUUAUACAGGCAAAAUAUAUAGCAAACUUCAUGAGCUUUUGUUAAUUCCAACAAUUUGUCAAUUGUUCUGAGUUUUUAAAAAUACAAGUAAUCAUAUAAUUUGUAAAUGGUGACAGAUUUCUUUAUUCUUUCUAGUUAUUUCUAACUUUUAAAUAUUUACUUUUAUAUUUUUGUGCUGCCUAGCCUAACAAAUAAAACCCAUAAGAGCAGAUUUGUUUUGAUUAUUCUUAAAUUUAAAGGAGAUACUUUUAUUAUUUCACAAUUUGUGGUGAUACUUAAGCAGUUUUUGGAAAAUACCUGUACUUUAUCAAAUUUAGAAAAUUCUGUUUUAUUAAUAGUUUGCUAAAGUGUUGAUUCUUGUAUCAUUAAUGAGUUAUACAUUUUAUCCAAUAUUGUUAGGCAUCUAUAGAGGCUGACAACAAAGUAUUUGUUUCUUGAAAUUCUACUGUUGAGAUGAAUUACAUAACCAGUCACUUUUCCUAUCUUCAAUAAAUUCAACUUAAUUUUGGUGUAUACAUGUUUUAAUUCAAAGUUUAUUUAAGAUAGAUUUCCAAUUUUAUUGACAUAAAUUUUUUCAUAUGAUUUUCCUAUAAUUUUUAUAGGAGUUUAUAGACUUCUAUCUUAUAAUUAUUUUAUCCAUUGUUAAAUUUAUGUUUUCAAAUAAAUUUUGCAGAGUUUUGUCUAUUUUUAUUCUUUUCAAAUAACCAA
rnacentral:lncRNA from 10 species